UAGGAGAGAGGAAGAGGCUGUGUUGGUCGCGCUCUUAUGAAUGUUUCAUUGCCUAUUUCAGAUUGUGGAGAUGCUGAGGAUGAAGACUGACUCCGCACCCCCGUGAAAUGAUCGAGGCUGAAGUGGAAAAAUUAAGUACUGUAACUGAAUCUUGAAAAUGAUCUGUAAUGAAACAUCCUGGACCUGAGCCCCAAGGACAAUAGGGGGAAAGAACUCUGAAGACAAGAUUGACUGGUUUCGCUUCUCCCUCCUCACCCUGGAUCCUUUACAGGAAUCACAGAUGGAUGACUUGAGAUGAGCCUUAAAGGAAAGGAAAAUGUAUCUUUCUCUCCACCAGCAUCAACUGUAAGAGAGAAUUUGGGGCCUGAAGAUUAAAAGAUUUGCCCCAUCUCCGAUCUGCAUGACAAAGACUCUGAAGUUAUGUCCAGGAAAGGGUAUACUAAAAACAGGCUAGAUAAUAAAACUAG